rnacentral:rRNA from 1 species
AUUCGCCUACGGGGGGCAGCAGUAGGGAAUUUUCGUCAAUGGGCGCAAGCCUGAACGAGCAAUGCCGCGUGAACGAGGAAGGUCUUCGGAUCGUAAAGUUCUGUUGAAGGGGCAAAAGAGCGGAGAGAGGAAAUGAACUCCGAUUGAUAUUACCCUUCGAGGAAGUCACGGCCAACUACGUGCCAGCAGCAGCGGUAAUACGUAGGUGGCGAGCGUUAUCCGGAAUGAUUGGGCGUAAAGGGUGCGUAGGCGGCCU